rnacentral:rRNA from 1 species
AACGAACGCUGGCGGCAGGCCUAACACAUGCAAGUCGAGCGCCCUUUCGGGGGAGCGGCGGACGGGUGAGUAACGCGUGGGAAUAUGCCCUUCUCUACGGAAUAGCCUCGGGAAACUGAGAGUAUACCGUAUACGCCCUGUGGGGGAAAGAUUUAUCGGGGAAGGAUUAGCCCGCGUUGGAUUAGGUAGUUGGUGGGGUAAUGGCCUACCAAGCCGACGAUCCAUAGCUGGUUUGAGAGGAUGAUCAGCCACACUGGGACUGAGACACGGCCCAGACUCCUACGGGAGGCAGCAGUGGGGAAUCUUAGACAAUGGGGGCAACCCUGAUCUAGCCAUGCCGCGUGAGUGAUGAAGGCCUUAGGGUUGUAAAGCUCUUUCAGCUGGGAAGAUAAUGACGGUACCAGCAGAAGAAGCCCCGGCUAACUCCGUG